UACGAAGGUCCCAAGCGUUGUUUGGAAUUACUGGGCGUAAAGAGUCUGUAGGCGGCGAAGUAAGUCAGAUGUGAAAUCCCGGGGCUCAACAUCGGAACUGCAUCCGAUACUGCUUCGCUUGAGGGUCGGAGGGGAGUCUGGAAUUCUCGGUGUAGCAGUGAAAUGCGUAGAUAUCGAGAGGAACACUAGUGGCGAAGGCGAGACUCUGGACGACACCUGACGCUGAGAGACGAAGGCCAGGGGAGCGAAAAGGAUUAGAUACCCGU
rnacentral:rRNA from 1 species